rnacentral:rRNA from 1 species
UACGGAGGGUGCAAGCGUUGCUCGGAAUUAUUGGGCGUAAAGGGUAGGUAGGUGGUCUCAUUUGUCUGGGGUGAAAGCCUUGAGCUUAACUCAAGAAGUGCCCCAGAAACGGUGAGACUGGAGUCCUGGAGAGGGUCGUGGAAUUCCCGGUGUAGCGGUGAAAUGCGCAGAUAUCGGGAGGAACACCAGCGGCGAAGGCGGCACUCUGGGCUGGUACUGACGCUGAGGAGCGAAAGCGUGGGGAGCGAACAGG